UGAGGAACAUGACCUUCGGCGGGGGAUAGCCGGCCCAACGGCCGGGUAAUACCGCGUACGACCACAUGGGGACAUCCCCGAGUGGUGAAAGCAGCAAUGCGCCGAUGGAGUGCCUCGCGGCCUAUCAGCUAGUUGGUGAGGUAACGGCUCACCAAGGCGACGACGGGUANCUGGUCUGAGAGGGUGACCCGGCCACACGUGGGACUGAGACACGGCCCAGACCUCCGUACGGGAGNACG
rnacentral:rRNA from 1 species